GAGGGUAUAGCUCAGUGGUAGAGUGCAUGCCUAGCAUGCAUGAGGUCCUGGGUUCAAUUCCCAGUACCUCCA
rnacentral:tRNA from 1 species